rnacentral:tRNA from 1 species
GGUGUGAUGGCUGAGCAGUAAAGCGCUUGGCUUCUGAACCGGGAAUCCCGGGUUUGAAUCCUGGUGAAGUCU